rnacentral:rRNA from 1 species
AUUGAACGCUGGCGCCAUGCCUUACACAUGCAAGUCGAACGGUAACAGGUUAAGCUGACGAGUGGCGAACGGGUGAGUAAUGUAUCGGAACGUGCCCAGUCGUGGGGGAUAACUACUCGAAAGAGUGGCUAAUACCGCAUACGACCUGAGGGUGAAAGCGGGGGACCGUAAGGCCUCGCGCGAUUGGAGCGGCCGAUAUCAGAUUAGCUAGUUGGUGGGGUAAAAGCCCACCAAGGCGACGAUCUGUAGCUGGUCUGAGAGGACGACCAGCCCAACUGGGACUGAGACACGGCCCAGACUCCUACGGGAGGCAGCAGUGGGGAAUUUUGGACAAUGGACGCAAGUCUGAUCCAGCCAUGCCGCGUGCGGGAAGAAGGCCUUCGGGUUGUAAACCGCUGUUGUCAGGGAAGAAACGAGUUUCUCUAAUACAGAGACUUAAUGACGGUACCUGAAGAAUAAGCACCGGCUAACUACGUGCCUGCCGCCGCGGUAAUAC